AAAAAAUUAGUUAAAUAUUAUAACCUUAGUAUGUCAAACUAAAAUUAUUGAAUGUUCAAUAUUUUUUA
rnacentral:tRNA from 1 species